rnacentral:rRNA from 1 species
AUGGAGACCAACGUGCAGUUGUGCGUUGGGACCGGCACUAUCGUCGCCAAGCCGGAGAUCAAGAAGCUCCAGUCUAGCAUCCAGGCGCCGGCGGGCCCCAAGAUUGCAGGGUGCCGCGUGAUCAAGGUGGAGGCGCACCAGAUCUCGGAGCACCCGCGCUCAUGCCGCGUGGCCCUGGUCGGCGAGGCGGCGGGGUACGUGACCCGGUGCUCCGGCGAGGGCAUCUACUUCACGGCCAAGUACGGGCAGCUUUGCAUGUAG